AACGAACGCUGGCGGCAUGCCUAACACAUGCAAGUCGAACGCGACCCUCGGGGCUCGUGGCGCACGUGUGCGUAACGCGUGGGCAUCCGCUCUUAGUCUCGGAAUCUCCCCCCGACUGGGGCGCUAAUACCGGAUACUGUCUCCGGGCCAAAGAUUUAUCGCCUUUGGAUGGGCCCGCGUUGGAUUAGCUAGUUGGUAGGGUAAAAGCCUACCAAGGCGACGAUCAAUAGCUGGUCUGAGAGGAUGAUCAGCCACACUGGGACUGAGACACGGCCCAGACUCCUACGGGAGGCAGCAGUGGGGAAUAUUGGACAAUGGGCGAAAGCCUGAUCCAGCAAUGCCGCGUGAGUGAUGAAGGCCUUAGGGUUGUAAAGCUCUUUUACCCGGGAUGAUAAUGACAGUACCGGGAGAAUAAGCUCCGGCUAACUCCGUG
rnacentral:rRNA from 1 species